rnacentral:misc_RNA from 1 species
GGAGGAUUAAAGUGUUUAAUUUUGAAAUAGUAGACAAAAGUGAAUGUAUAUUAUUAAGCUAAACCUCUAGGAGUUGUAUGUAAUUUUAUAUAUAAAAAAAAAAAGGCUACUUCCACAUAAUUCUACACUUCCAUUUCUUCUUGAGAGGAUGUCUAAACAUGAAAACACCUCACUUCUUUUGUCGAGUUAAUGAAGGGGACUGGCUUGGCAGAGGAGAAGGGAAGACUUCAGAUAUGGUAUCCCAAGAAAAGUCGUCUUUUUUUCUACUCCUCCUGUCCAAGAACGACGGCUUAACAGGUGUUCCCACCAUUUCAACCUUGCAUGUUAACAUGGCAACAAUCUCUGACAUAGGGGGCCUCAAGUUUGCAUGAGGUUGAAGACACAAGAAAGCUACAUGGAUUGCUUGCAACACAUCUUUCUCCACAAACCCAUGUUCUCGCAUUCUAGGAUCAACUAGAUCAAUUACACUGGACCUCUCAUAUAAUUUCCACGCAUAUUCAGGGAGGUAUUGCAUAUCUGAUGGUAAAGUUAGAUCUGUGUUCUUCCUGCAGCUAAUAAUUUCAAGGACAAGCACUCCAAAGCUAUAGAUGUCUGCCUUUUCAGACAAUUCUCCUCUAAUGGCAUACUCAGGGGCUGUGUAACCUCUGAAUAAGAGAACAAGACAAUUUAUAAAGAGAUGAUAGAUAAAUAUGACCAGAAUAGCAGAAAUUGAUAUGUGAAGCUCAAUGGUAUAUCCGUACAAUAAAAAUUACAGAAGCAGACUUCAUAAAAGCAGUCGCAUGAAUAGCAUAAAACUCAUAGCUUUAUUUAAUUCUUUUAAGUCGUGUAUCAAAUAAAAGAAUUUUUAUUUUUCAUCCAACUCUUAUUUGCUUUCCACAGCACAAUGUAGAAGAAAACAAAGAAGAUUGUCAUCGAUGGUGCAAAGGUUUAAAAACUUGGCACAACUGGUGUGGUAUCUUUGUAUUGCAAGAAUACAUUGGUUAUCUUUUGUGGAAGACUUUGUUGGUGAUAUUGAUCAUUGCAAUAGCCAAUAAUGGCACGUCAGAUUUGGUGGCUACUGUGCUAGGAGGGGAAACCAAAAAAGUAGAAGAGAGACAAUAUAUCAGAGAGCAGAAACAAAGGUUGCACUUAUUUGUUCAAGUUAUACCAAAUCUACUACUUAAAGAGUUGCAACAAAUGGUUUUUAAAGCAAUUCCAUAGACUCCUAGUUCUGCAAUAAAAACUUACAAAGUUCCAGCAAAUGUAGUGCUUAGGUAAGCUUGGUCUUCUGGGAAGAACCUAGCCAGCCCAAAAUCUCCAAUCCUAGGUUGGAAUUUAUCAUCAAGAAGAAUGUUGCUCGCUUUGAUAUCUCUGUGAACAAUUCUUAGGUGUGAAUCCUCGUGUAGAUACUGUAAUCCUCGAGCAAUCCCUAAAAUUAUUUGGAACCUUGUUUUCCAAUCUAGGAAAUGAUCGCUUUUUCCUGCAUCACAGAAAUGAAGGCAUAUAUUCAGCUAAAGCAUUUAACAUGGUAUCAUUUUUAAUAAAAUAAUGGUUUCUUUCUGACAAAUAUGCUGUGAUUUAUGCUACUCCAAAGAUCUCUGUUUAAAGUUAAUUUAUUACUUACCAAAAACUCUAUGGAACCAAAAGAUUGUGAACAGAAUAAAUGAAUUUAUGGUUGAAGAUUACUCAGAAAAAUAGUACUGCUUGGUCCUUAGUUAUAUAAGAAUAAUUGGUCUUUGUUCCUCAGGAACCAAAUGAUGACUAGUAAAUCAGUUUGCAGUUCCACCAGUACAACCUAUAAAAAAAGGGGAAAAAAAAAGCAGUACUUGGAGGAAUUGUCCUUGGAUCUGGAAAAUAGUCUGUAAAUGACCUGGGCUUGGUAUUUGUAUUCAUUUUAGGUUUGAUACAACCUACCUUGAGGCAUCUGAUUAAUAAGUUAAACUGGAUCCUAUGCAAAUCUGUAAUUGAGCAGUGUACUAAACUGGAUGGAGAGUUUACAGAGUUGAACAGGGAACAUCAUCAGCAUUAUUGGGCUAGCCUCAAAUAGGUAUUAGCAGUAGACCCUAACUCCUGCCUAUGAGGUUCACCCAGACAUUGCUCUCCUGCAUCCCUUGGGAGAGAUCAGAGAACCAUUUCAAACAAUCACAGGAUUUCUUAUGUUGAGAAGAAGAUACAGCUUGUAUCUACAUAUUGUAACAAAUAAUACCAAGAAGAAGAGAAAUAGCAGAUUGAGAUGAUAGUGAUACCAUAUAGUAUGAGGUCUAAACUCCUAUUCUUCAUGUACUCAUACACAAGUAGUCGUUGGGGCCCAUCCGAGCAACACCCAAUAAGUCGAACCAAGUUCUUGUGUUGGAUGCUUGUGAUCAUCCUCACCUCUGAAAGAAAUUCUGAUUCCCCUUGCUGGGAUUUUUCAAGAGACAACUUUUUAACUGCCACCAUUCUGCCAUCAGCUAACUUUCCCCGAUAGACAGGUCCAAAUCCACCUCUUCCAAGAAGAUUACUAGGAUGAAAAUUUUUAGUUGCCUUCUUCAAUGUAUUGAAGUCAAAAUAGCUUAUGGUUCGAAGGUUCCCACUCCAGAAAUCAGCAGAAGCUUUCUGCUUUUUUUUUCUUCUCAGUAAAAACUUCAUUGUCUCUGAAGGUUUGACAAACUUCCAAAACGCUACUAUGAGAAUCAGCAAUAUAAUGAGAAAAAUUAUCCCUCCAAGGAAAAAGAAUAAAGCUGAAGAAUGUGAUGAAGAGGAUGAGCCCUGAAUCUGAAGCUUAGUGGGAGGUGGAGAGAUCACUUCUGCUGCUCGGCGAGCCAUCAUCACAAGCUUCGAAGCAAGUAUUUUUCUAGGAAUGAAAGCUAAUUCUCUCUUCUAAUUCCUUGUUUUUUCAGGAAAAUAAAAAUAAAAAUAAAUGUUUUGUUUCGUUUCUUUAAAAAAGGGUAGAAAGGUCCAGACAGGAAAAGAGAGUGCAGCUGUAACAUAGGAUCAAUCGAAGGGAAUUGGAGGAUCAAAGACGAGGAGAAAGAUCCAAAAUGUCUUCAUUAGUAGACGGCGAAAAACGCACGUAGCAGUACAAGUGCAAGUAUUCUUGUGCAUGAAAAAACGCGUCUUUGAUUCCUUACAAUGUCUUCCUGCUUGUGAAGCGCCAGCCAUAGCCGACCAUUCUUUUUAUUUUUCUUAUUGCCCCAAAUGCCAUAGAAAAAGUCCCCUCUACUCCCCCAGAAAACUACCCAAUCUCUGCAACCCUGACGACAGAGUCCAAAACCAUUUCCAAAGAAAUUUUCGAGGCCAUUUACUGAUGUCGAGCUUGUUGGCGCAUCCAUCUGCUGAUCUACACACAUUUGCCGCACACAGCUUGAAAAGACUGCAAAACUCGUGCUGAAACUUGAAAGGGAUGGCAAAGGAUCGAUAGUUUUA